rnacentral:rRNA from 1 species
AGAGUUUGAUCAUGGCUCAGGACGAACGCUGACGGUGUGCUUUAGACAUGCAAGUCGAACGAGAAAGCCCUUCGGGGUGAGUACAGUGGCGAACGGGUGAGUAACACGUGGGUAACCUGCCCCUCGCAGGGGGACAACCGGGGGAAACCCCGGCUAAUACCCCGUACGCUCCGAGGUCCGCAUGGGCCACGGAGGAAAGGUAGCUUCGGCCAUCCGGCGAGGGAUGGGCCCGCGGUCCAUUAGCUAGUUGGUGGGGUAACGGCCUACCAAGGCAACGAUGGAUAGCUGGUCUGAGAGGAUGAUCAGCCACACUGGGACUGAGACACGGCCCAGACUCCUACGGGAGGCAGCAGUCGGGAAUCUUGCGCAAUGGGCGAAAGCCUGACGCAGCAACACCGUGUGGGCGACGAAGGCCCUCGGGUCGUAAAGCCCUGUUGUUGGGGACGAAGGGCGAAGGGUUAAUAGCCCCUAGCCUGACGGUACCCUUCGAGGAAGCCCCGGCUAACUACGUGCCAGCAGCCGCGGUAAUACGUGGGGGGCGAGCGUUGUCCGGAAUUAUUGGGCGUAAAGAGCGUGUAGGCGGCUUGGUAAGUCUGCCGUGAAAACCCGGGGCUCAACCCCGGGCGUGCGGUGGAUACUGCCAGGCUAGAGGAUGGUAGAGGCGAGUGGAAUUCCCGGUGUAGCGGUGAAAUGCGCAGAUAUCGGGAGGAACACCAGCAGCGAAGGCGGCUCGCUGGGCCAUUCCUGACGCUGAGACGCGAAAGCUAGGGGAGCGAACAGGAUUAGAUACCCCGGUAGUCC